UUUUGCUGUCCUAUUUACCAGAAAGUCUUUUCAGCAGUUUCUGUAAAUUCUUACCUUGUUGCCAAAGAGUGAUUUGAGGUUCAAAAGCAACUAGAGAAUAGAGCUAUUAUUUCUUUGACUUUUCAUUAAUUCUGGGCCUUAUGGUGACUGAACAUCUUUCUUUCCAGAAGCUCAGAGACAUUGUUUACUGAGCUGCUAUGCUAAUUUGUACUUUGGAACAAAGCUUGAGCUAGUACUUAUUUCAGAGAUGGUGCAAAUGAAUUGAGUAGAAGCAGUGGUACCCAGAUCUUGUAGUUUUGGAGAUUACCAAAACCUCAACAACAAACUAUUUGAUGAUUACUCUUAAAUCUAUACCUUUAGUCAUAAUCAUUCUUCUGAAUUCUAAAUAUAUUAACUGUGCAUAAUAUCCUCACCUAGAUGUUCCAGAGACACCUAAAAUUCAACUUGUCCCAUAUGUAUUUGUAAUAUUCUACUCCGAACCUGCUAACCCUUUGGUAUUCUACAUCUUGGUUAAUAAUUUACUUAUCCACAUAGAAAUCCCAGCCAGAAACCUGCCAUCAUUGUUGAUUCUUCCUUUUGUUCAGCAUUUGUACCCAAUGAGUCUCUCCUGACCAUCAGUUCUCCUUCCAGAAAGUCAUUGAAUCUGCCCGUUCUUCCAACCACUAUCCUCAUUUUCUCUCUCCUGGAUUAUUGUCAUAGCUUCCUAAUGGGUCUGCCUGUCUCCAGGGUAACCACUUUCCAUUCCACCCACUGAACUGUGCCAGAGUGUGCUUUCUGAAUAACAAAUCUGAUCUUGUCACUCACACAAUUAAAAUCCUCCAGUGGAUCCCAGCCACUUACAGCAUGAAAAUUCAAACUCCGGAGCACAGCCUACAAAGACUGUUUUUGAUCUGGCUCCUAGGUCUUUCAUCAGCAACCCAGGACCAUCCUUCCUGAACUUCUCACAGUUUGGCCCCCUGUAAUGCUCUCUUGUGUUUCUCUGGCUUUGCACGUGCAGUGUUCAUGCCUGGAACAGCCUUUCUUUUUUCCACCCCCUAAACACCUACUCAUCUUCUAGAUGUAGUUCAGUGGCACCUGUUCUGUGUAGCUCUUCCUAUGCUCAUCUGUGCAUAUUCUCAGCAGCAAUCACAUGCACAUCCAUAUAAUAGGUUUUACUUCAUUGUAUUUUAAUUCUGUUUAUAUAUUUGUUUCCCCCUCCUUUCUGUGAAUUCAUCUGAGCAUUGUCUUUGUAUUCCCAGCAUCUAGCAGAGCGCCUGGCAGUAGUGUAGGGACUCAGUGCAUGUUUGCUGAAUAUGAAUGAAUACGGAGGCAGCUGGUCUCAGUCAAACCGCGGCAACCCUGGGCAUGCAGCUCAGCAUCCUCUGAAACUCUGUCCUCAUUUUGCAAAUUUAGGGACGACCAGACCUAUCUUCCUGUCCUAUCAUAAGGAUUAAAGAAGACAUGGGAGUACUCUAUGUACAAUCCAACAUUCACCCUCUGAAGCAAGCUGUGUAAUCUCUACAAGCCUCAGUUUCCUUGAAGGUAGAAUGGAACUACUUCAUAAGCUCUCGGAUAAAUGAGGUGAGACAUUGGAAUGAGAAGGCAGUCAUCUACACACCCUCACUAGAGAGCAAAGGACACUCAACAGACACUGGAUCUGCUAGCACCUUCAUCUUGGACUUCCUAGUCUUCAGAACUGUAAGAAAUACAUUUCUGCUGCUUAAGCUACCCAGUCCUUGGUAUUCUGUUAGGCCAGCCUAAAAUGACUAAGACAACUCUAACACGAUCAAAACAUGGAAGUCACUCUGCCUUUAAUGUUUUGUGGCAAGAUUUCUCAGUCUCUUAGUUUACCAUAAAGUUAAUAGUUUUAUUUGAUUAAUAUGUGGCCAUAUUUUGAUAUCAUGUAUU